rnacentral:rRNA from 6 species
UGGCUCAGAUUGAACGCUGGCGGCAGGCCUAACACAUGCAAGUCGAGCGGAUGACGAGAGCUUGCUCUCUGAUUCAGCGGCGGACGGGUGAGUAAUGCCUAGGAAUCUGCCUGGUAGUGGGGGACAACGUCUCGAAAGGGACGCUAAUACCGCAUACGUCCUACGGGAGAAAGCAGGGGACCUUCGGGCCUUGCGCUAUCAGAUGAGCCUAGGUCGGAUUAGCUAGUUGGUGAGGUAAUGGCUCACCAAGGCGACGAUCCGUAACUGGUCUGAGAGGAUGAUCAGUCACACUGGAACUGAGACACGGUCCAGACUCCUACGGGAGGCAGCAGUGGGGAAUAUUGGACAAUGGGCGAAAGCCUGAUCCAGCCAUGCCGCGUGUGUGAAGAAGGUCUUCGGAUUGUAAAGCACUUUAAGUUGGGAGGAAGGGUUGUAGAUUAAUACUCUGCAAUUUUGACGUUACCGACAGAAUAAGCACCGGCUAACUCUGUGCCAGCAGCCGCGGUAAUACAGAGGGUGCAAGCGUUAAUCGGAAUUACUGGGCGUAAAGCGCGCGUAGGUGGUUUGUUAAGUUGGAUGUGAAAGCCCCGGGCUCAACCUGGGAACUGCAUUCAAAACUGACAAGCUAGAGUAUGGUAGAGGGUGGUGGAAUUUCCUGUGUAGCGGUGAAAUGCGUAGAUAUAGGAAGGAACACCAGUGGCGAAGGCGACCACCUGGACUGAUACUGAC